GACGAACGCUGGCGGCGUGCUUAACACAUGCAAGUCGAACGGAAAGGCCCUGCUUUUGUGGGGUGCUCGAGUGGCGAACGGGUGAGUAACACGUGAGUAACCUGCCCUUGACUUUGGGAUAACUUCAGGAAACUGGGGCUAAUACCGGAUAGGAGCUCCUGCUGCAUGGUGGGGGUUGGAAAGUUUCGGCGGUUGGGGAUGGACUCGCGGCUUAUCAGCUUGUUGGUGGGGUAGUGGCUUACCAAGGCUUUGACGGGUAGCCGGCCUGAGAGGGUGACCGGCCACAAUGGGACUGAGAUACGGCCCAGAAUCCUACGGGAGGGAGCAGUGGGGAAUAUUGCAAAAUGGGCGGAAGCCUGAUGGAGCAACGCCGCGUGCGGGAUGACGGCCUUCGGGUUGUAAACCGCUUUCGCCUGUGACGAAGCGUGAGUGACGGUAAUGGGUAAAGAAGCACCGGCUAACUACGUG
rnacentral:rRNA from 1 species